GCCAAACAGCUAGCUCAAUUACCCAAUAACUAAACAAUAUAAAUAAAACAAAAUAAGCCUAACACCAAAAAUUAAAUCAUUCUUUUACCUUAGUAUGGGCGACAGAAAAGGUUACACCCGGAGCAAUAGAAAAAGUACCGCAAGGGAAAGCUGAAAGAGAAAUGAAAUAACUUAUAUAAGCACCAAAAAGCAAAGAUUAAAUCUUGUACCUUUCGCAUCAUGAUUUAGCCAGUAUACCCAAGCAAAGAGACCUUUAGUUUGAAACCCCGAAACCAAGUGAGCUACCCCGAGACAGCCUAUUAAGGGCCAACCCGUCUCUGUGGCAAAAGAGUGGGAAGAGCUCCGGGUAGAGGUGACAGACCUACCGAACUUGGUGAUAGCUGGUUGCCUAAGAAGUGAAUAGAAGUUCAGCCUCGUACUCCCUGAAUCAAAAGGUAUAAAAAGAUAUUAGAGGGAAAUAUAUGAGAGUUAGUUAAAGGGGGUACAGCCCCUUUAACAAAGGACACAACCUUUCCAGGAGGAUAAAGAUCAUAAUACAUAAGACAUCCUGUUCUAGUGGGCCUAAAGGCAGCCAUCUAAACAGAAAGCGUUAAAGCUCAGACAGAAAUAAGUUUAUUAUUCCGACAAGAAAUCUUAUUCCCCUAAAUAUUAUUAGGCCAGCCCAUGCCCACAUGGGAGAGACUAUGCUAAAAUGAGUAACAAGAAGGCCAGCCCUUCUCCAAGCACAAGUGUAAGCCAAACCGGACCGACCAUUGGCAAUUAACGAACUCAACCCAAGAGAGUAGUGUGUAUUACAACAAAACCAGGAAGAACCCACAGUAAACCCAUCGUUACCCCCACACUGGCGUGCUAUUAAAGGAAAGACUAAAAGAAGGGAAAGGAACUCGGCAAACACAAGCCUCGCCUGUUUACCAAAAACAUCGCCUCCUGCAACACAACCAAGUAUAGGAGGUCCAGCCUGCCCAGUGACUACAAGUUCAACGGCCGCGGUAUUUUGACCGUGCAAAGGUAGCGCAAUCACUUGUCUCUUAAAUGGAGACCUGUAUGAAUGGCUAAACGAGGGCUUAACUGUCUCCCCCCUCCAGUCAGUGAAAUUGAUCUAUCCGUGCAGAAGC
rnacentral:rRNA from 1 species